GUUCUGUCUGUGUCUGCCAGCCCCACGGGGGAAUGCCGUCUUCCUUCACAAAUUGAGAGACUUGUGGGAUCCAGGAGUCACCUCAGCUAAAUGAGACAGGGCUAGAGGUGAAUGAGGGUGAAGCUUUGGAGAGAAUGCUGGGCCCUUUAAGAAAUCCUGCCCAGCAUGUGAGCAGGGAUACUUUGGGAAGUGAGCCCCCUCUCAUUCUCUACUACUCUUGACUGUAGGUGGCCUUUCAAGGGACUUCACUGCACCAGAGAGGAUGGGCAAGGCAUCUGUAUUUCCCAGGGCCUCACCCCAGGACCUCCUGGGCCUCUGUUUCUCAGAGACCCACCCCUGCCUGGGAUUCUGUCUGCCAGCAUCCAGUCGUCACUGCUUCUGGCUCCAGGAGGCCUUUAUUCUUAAGGUUAUUGGAGGGAUAAGUACUAUUUCCUCCUACUUUCCAAUCUUACUGGGAAAAAAAAA